rnacentral:rRNA from 1 species
AACGAACGCUGGCGGCAUGCCUAACACAUGCAAGUCGAACGAGACCUUCGGGUCUAGUGGCGCACGGGUGCGUAACGCGUGGGAACCUGCCCUUAGGUUCGGAAUAACUCCCCGAAAGGGGUGCUAAUACCGGAUAAUGUCUUCGGACCAAAGAUUUAUCGCCUUUGGAUGGGCCCGCGUUGGAUUAGCUAGUUGGUAGGGUAAAAGCCUACCAAGGCGACAAUCCAUAGCUGGUCUGAGAGGAUGAUCAGCCACACUGGGACUGAGACACGGCCCAGACUCCUACGGGAGGCAGCAGUGGGGAAUAUUGGACAAUGGGCGAAAGCCUGAUCCAGCAAUGCCGCGUGAGUGAUGAAGGCCUUAGGGUUGUAAAGCUCUUUUACCCGGGAUGAUAAUGACAGUACCGGGAGAAUAAGCUCCGGCUAACUCCGU